rnacentral:rRNA from 1 species
UGGGGAAUAUUGGACAAUGGGCGCAAGCCUGAUCCAGCCAUGCCGCGUGAGUGAUGAAGGCCUUAGGGUUGUAAAGCUCUUUCGCCGGUGAAGAUAAUGACGGUAACGGAGAAGAAGCCCCGGCUAACUUCGUGCCAGCAGCCGCGGUAAUACGAAGGGGGGCUAGCGUUGCUCGGAAUCACUGGGCGUAAAGCGCACGUAGGCGGAUCGUUAAAGUCAGGGGUGAAAUCCCUGGAGCUCAACUCCAGACUGCCCUUGAUACUGGCGAUCUCGAGUUCGAGAGAGGUUGGUGGAACUCCGAGUGUAGAGGUGAAAUUCGUAGAUAUUCGGAAGAACACCAGUGGCGAAGGCGGCCAACUGGCUCGAUACUGACGCUGAGGUGCGAAAUGCGUGGGGAGCAAACAGGA